UACGGAAGGUCCGGGCGUUAUCCGGAUUUAUUGGGUUUAAAGGGAGCGUAGGCCGGCUUUUAAGUCAGCUGUGAAAGUUUGCGGCUCAACCGUAAAAUUGCAGUUGAAACUGGCAGUCUUGAGUACAGUAGAGGUGGGCGGAAUUCGUGGUGUAGCGGUGAAAUGCUUAGAUAUCACGAAGAACUCCGAUUGCGAAGGCAGCAUACCGGUGCACAACUGACGCUCAGGCACGAAAGCGUGGGUAUCGAACAGG
rnacentral:rRNA from 1 species